GUUCUGCAAGAAGCUCAAUUAUAAGUACAACACAUAGAGAUUUGUUGCAAGAAGCUCAAUUAUAAGUUGAAUUUUGAUGCUCUAAUUGGCUAAUAAGGUCAUCAAUUAAAUAGUUCCAUCCAUCACCAACUCGUUUCAAAAUAAAAGUUUAUGAAACUUCAAACCGCAAAGCAGAACACAACAUGACCGUCUUUCUACAGGAGAUCGCAUGAUCCGAUGGAACGGUGGAGCAACGGGUAUUUGUGUCUUUUGUCAAAACUGUGUGGAAACUAGAGAUCAUCUCUUUUUCGCUUGCUCUUUUACCUCAGGAAUUUGGAAGACUACUGCUAAGGGGAUUCUCCAAGCACGUUUCACUACAGGCUGGUCACAACUCAUCGAUCAUGUUUCAAAUAAUCAACGAGGCAGAGUGGAGAGCUUCCUAAUUCGAUACGCUCUUCAAACUACUGUUUACAUGAUAUGGCGGGAGCGAAAUGGUCGUAGGCACGGUGAGGAUCAACACUCGGAACCACUCAUCACAAAGUGGAUAGAUAAACAAGUUAGAAACCGGAUCACAACUCUUCGACGUAUGGGAGACAGAAGAUACGACGAGGCGUACCAAAUGUGGCUAGCUACUCGGAGCUAACACGUUCAAAUUCUCAUAGAAUUCUUAUCAGUUAAUUUUUUCAACCCUAUCUCAAACUCACGCCGCACUUCGUUGUAAAAACGUUUAUUUUUUCUUUUGAAUAUAAUUUAACAUUAAAUUCAAAAAAAAGCAGAACACAACAUAAGAGUUCAAGAACCUAACUUUAGUUAAAAGGAAUUACAGAUAGUAAAUAAAGAAGAUGAACUAAUGAAUGUUCUUGGAUUUAAAAACUGCUUAAAAGUUAGUAGUACUUAGUUGUUAUUUUCAAAGAGUUACGCAACUUUAAGGGAAGGAAAAAAUGUAGGAAUAUUAAGAAAGUAAACCACUUUUCUUAAUUUAUAGCUGUCCACAACUAAUUUGUCAUGAUUCCAUAUACUUUUGAUAACACUAAUUACAGGGAAAAUUGCUUUAUUACUAAUCAUAUUUUAAUAAUAUCUUCCUCGAAAAACCUAAUUUUCUUGAAAAUGCCAUGAUGAAGUUGUAAAUUCGAACAGCGAUGGAUUUUACCUAAACAUAGACCCAGCCAUAUAAUUCACAAAAACCUUAGGCAUCUGAAGAAAAUUCAUUUGUUAAUUGUAAAUUUAAACCUCAGUUCCAAGCGUAAGAAUUCUAAAUUACAUACUAUAUAUAUAAUUAAUUCAUCGUAAACAUGAAUCAAUAUUCCUAAGUAUAAGAUUACCGUAUAUAAACAAACACACACGUAUGUAAAUA
rnacentral:lncRNA from 1 species